GACGAACGCUGGCGGCGUGCUUAACACAUGCGAGUCGAACGGAAAGGCCCUGCUUUUGUGGGGUGCUCGAGUGGCGAACGGGUAAGUAACACGUGAGUAACCUGCCCUUGACUUUGGGAUAACUUCAGGAAACUGGGGCUAAUACCGGAUAGGAGCUCCUGCUGCAUGGUGGGGGUUGGAAAGUUUCGGCGGUUGGGGAUGGACUCGCGGCUUAUCAGCUUGUUGGUGGGGUAGUGGCUUACCAAGGCUUUGACGGGUAGCCGGCCUGAGAGGGUGACCGGCCACAUUGGGACUGAGAUACGGCCCAGACUCCUACGGGAGGCAGCAGUGGGGAAUAUUGCACAAUGGGCGGAAGCCUGAUGCAGCAACGCCGCGUGCGGGAUGACGGCCUUCGGGUUGUAAACCGCUUUCGCCUGUGACGAAGCGUGAGUGACGGUAAUGGGUAAAGAAGCACCGGCUAACUACGUG
rnacentral:rRNA from 1 species